rnacentral:lncRNA from 1 species
AGUUUUACAAUGUUAAAAAUGGGCCUACGGGAGUACAAGUUACUCAUGGGUUUUGCAGUCCCCAGGGAGCUAAUGGAGGCAAAGCAAUCCAACAAGGUGUGCUUCAACCGGGUUAGGUUAAAAAUGCAGAGUACGGAAUCUGCAACCGGAAAUCUUGUGGUCCAACCUAAGCUCCGAAACUGCCUUUGAAUCCCUUUCCAAAGCGCCACCAAGUGAUCUCAGCACAUAUGUGAACCUGGCCUGAAGAUAUCAGGACACAUCCAGCAGACGUUCUCUCCCACAGAAACCACCAACCACCAACCGCAAAGCACCCGCCUGAUUUGGGCUUAAUGGCCCCGGAUACACACCACGGCCUUAUUGGCGUCUGGGUCGACACACACCGUUGCGCAUGGCUCCAUGGCCUCUUCAUGGAGACUCUGGCGCGUGCAUGCGUGUUGGAAGCUUUACGUCGCCGAAUGGCAUCUCAACGCCAACAUCGCUGCAUCACGUAUUGCGCUUGAGAUCCAUGUUUCCGAGGCACUAACAGGAUACUGGGCGUCGCACGAGGGACAGGGUUGGAGGCAUCAGCGGCGAGCGCAAGCAACCACAACGCGCAAAAUCAAGGGAGCAGCCCAGGCGGGAUGCGGUGCCAACAUCAUACUUUAGGGAUUGCGGUGCCACCAUUAUGCUUCAAUCAUAUUUAUCUUGGGUGUAAAACGGUGCGGCCAGGCAUGCAGCGUAUUCACGGAAAUCUUGCUCAAACAAGCGGGUGGUGGUGAAACAGCGUCAGGACGAGUAGACCAAAGCACAGAGAUUCCAGGGAAUAAGUACAUUUAUAAUAACGCCCGGAAAUAUUUUGCCCUGGUCAGGGGACAGCCCAACGUUUCGGGUUCUGAUAUCUGGGUAUUUGUCCAGGACGACCGGCGUGAUUUACAUGUAUACAGUCCUACGCUGAUGGCUAUAUGGUACCCGAUAUAUCCGAGCCAUA